rnacentral:rRNA from 1 species
UACGUAGGGUGCAAGCGUUGUCCGGAAUUAUUGGGCGUAAAGAGCUCGUAGGCGGUCUGUCACGUCGGCUGUGAAAACCUGGGGCUCAACUCCGGGCCUGCAGCCGAUACGGGCAGACUAGAGUUCGGCAGGGGAGACUGGAAUUCCUGGUGUAGCGGUGAAAUGCGCAGAUAUCGGGAAGAACACCCGUGGCGAAGGCGGCUCUCUGGGACGGUACUGACGCUGAGACGCGAAAGCGUGGGGAGCGAACAGG